CAUACCAGGAUUUAUACCUGUUCUCUUACAAUCACCAAAGUUAAGCAACAUAGAGCCUGGUCAGUACACCUAGAUGGGUGACUACUUGGGAAUACCAAGUGCUGUAA